UACGGAGGGUGCAAGCGUUGUCCGGAAUCAUUGGGCGUAAAGAGCGCGCAGGCGGUCGAUCAAGUCGCGUGUGAAAGCCCCCGGCUCAACUGGGGAGGGUCACGCGAUACUGAUCGACUCGAAGGCAGGAGAGGGUAGUGGAAUUCCCGGUGUAGUGGUGAAAUGCGUAGAUAUCGGGAGGAACACCAGUGGCGAAGGCGACUACCUGGCCUGUUCUUGACGCUGAGGCGCGAAAGCUAGGGUAGCAAACGGG
rnacentral:rRNA from 1 species